GAUGAACGCUGGCGGCGUGCCUAAUACAUGCAAGUCGAGCGAACAGACGAGGAGCUUGCUCCUCUGACGUUAGCGGCGGACGGGUGAGUAACACGUGGAUAACCUACCUAUAAGACUGGGAUAACUUCGGGAAACCGGAGCUAAUACCGGAUAAUAUAUUGAACCGCAUGGUUCAAUAGUGAAAGACGGUUUUGCUGUCACUUAUAGAUGGAUCCGCGCCGCAUUAGCUAGUUGGUAAGGUAACGGCUUACCAAGGCAACGAUGCGUAGCCGACCUGAGAGGGGAGCAGGCCCAACUGGACACGGACACGGGGCCGAACCCCACCGGGGGGGCGCCGUGGGAAAUUUUCCCGAAGGGGGAAAGCCCGGACGGGGCAAACCCCGGGGGGGAAUAAAGGUUUUGGGUUCGAAAAACCUUUUUAUUGGGAAAAAACAAAGUUAGAAGUAACCUUGCCCGUCUGAACGGUCCCUAAUCAGAAAGCCCCGGCUAACUACGG
rnacentral:rRNA from 1 species